rnacentral:lncRNA from 1 species
AAAAGCCUGAUUUCUCUCUAACCUAUGUAGUAGCUGUAUUUUUCAGAGAUAUUAGAGCUUCACUACAGCAAAAAUCCCUGAGAAAGCUGAUGCAAAAAAUACUUUAGUUGUUAUGUUUGUUAAAUUCUUUCGCAUUUCCCACAGACCUGCUCUACAUGUGCUCAUGAAUAAUUAAAAGCAAUUAAGAAAGGGCUUUCCCUCUUUUUUUUUUUUUUUUUUUAAACAGGUAUUGUUUGUAGUAUCUAUGUUGCAAAACCACAUCUAUACCUUUUCCUUUAUUAUCAUGCUCUAACACAAUUGAAAGCUUUUGUUUAACAGAUCCUGCAGGACAUAGUAAGAUCUACCAUUUCUAUUUCUCUCUGCAAAAAUACCCUAUAUUUUGUUCUCUAAUUUGUACCUGAGAUGAAAUAAUGCAUAUACUUACCACUGUCCAUUUCAAAGCAUAAUUAGACUUGUUUCUUGAGGUCACAUUCUUAAAGCAUGGAAUUUCUGAAGUCUGGUUUAACUGCAUUUCCUUUAAUACUGCUCUUCUUUUAUCAUGGCAACAGCAGUAACAACAACUGAAAAGCCCGAGAAGGAAAAUCAGAAACACUGUGUUAAUUAUGAUUCAGGAACAAAUGCUGACUGGUCUUCUGAUGAAGGAACAGGAAUUUUUUUUUAAUUAGAAGAGUAGUUUUUCACCACUAUCCAUAGACACAUUUGUUAAUGAAAGCCCUGCAUCCAAUUUCAUUCAGAUGCAAUUUCAUUACUCUAAUUCAUGACCUUACCAAAAUUCACAAAAACCUUUGCUUAACUGAUGCACCAAGGCACUUCCGUUUGAAGCUGAUCUUCAAUUUUUCUCAUAUGAUUUUUUCUGCUGCAAUAAAUCUUCACAUCAACCUCAUGCCCCUCUUUUUUUCCUUUUCUCUGCAGACUUUCUUUGCAUCAGGUAAGGUGUUCAGCGUGUCAGACAGGUUAAGAUCAACUCCAUUUUUCAGUGGCUCAAAUCCACCUGUGGGAGGUCAGAAGUGAUGCAUUGAACAGAGCGCAUCUGUGAUCCAGAAGUCAGAUCAGUCUGCACUCCUACAUUUAAGCAGGAAGAGCAGUGGUACAGUCAUGCAAUAGUGUGAGUGCCUGGGCAGAUGUUAAGAUCUCUGGCCAGCCCCUGUGCUGCAGCCCGUAUGGACGCUCCUGAACUUUGCUCUCCUGCUAGUUCUGGCUUGUGGACUGAGAUGGAAUAGAUAAAGUGCUGGAUUCACUUUGCUCUGACGCAGCUGGGAGCUGUACUUUACUGAUAAUGACUGCCCAUCUCCAUUCCACUCACAGGCUGCAUUAAGGUCUUUUGCCUUCUUUUGAGUGGACAACGUUUAUUGCAAAAUCUCCAAUUUAAAAUGACAAGCUUCAAGAGCUGCAUUGCAGACUGACUUUUUUAGCUCGUCUCCAGCGAAUGUUAUCAGUAAUACAUAAUGCAGUGGCUGAAAAAUCCACAGUGAUGCAGAUAUGAACAGCAGCCGCACAUAUUUAACGAAUGUGGACCACGUUUACAGCAUCAAACAUACCAGUAUCAAACACAGGCAAGGAAAGACCACCAGUGCUUGAUUAUCACUAUUACUAUAUUAGUUAUAUUAGAUGCAGAAAAAUUGCACAAGGGAUAGAACUGCACCCAUGGGCACUGCUUCUCUCUGCUACCUCUAACUUCUCCUGCCCUGCUCUCAGCCCUUGAAAGUAUGCUGGGUACAGCCCUAGGCAGCAGCAGGUAAGCAUGCUAACUUUGCAACUCUGAACUGAAACCUUGCCAAGUUUUUUUGCAUCAGUUUUAUUCUCAGCUUGCUAACAGAAACCUGGGCCUGAAAGAGGUUUCUGGGGUCAUCAGAAUCUUGAGCACUGACACAAGAUUGCCCUGUUCAGCCAACAUCUUUGCCCAGCUCUGUCUUCUUAUCAAUUUAGACUCUUUGCCCUCACUGCUGGCCAGAAGACACAAUUGUUGUUUAAUUUGUAGCUAAAUCCACUCAUGUCCUACUUAAAACCAUUUGCUCCUUUACAAGCAUGUUUAAAUAUCAUCCCUGUUCACAUUCUCCCCUAGGGAUUACUUAAUGUUGUUUUCCAGCUUCCUUCUGUCUGACAAAAGAAGCCAAAUCUCUGGCCCUGUGGGCGUCUUAAAUGAUGUUCUGCUUCACAAAGUUCAGUUCUCAGCCUCAACCAGACAAGGGCAUUUUCUCUUCCUAGUCCUCAGUGCAGCACGGCAGAGGCACCAUGUUGUUUGAAAAGCUGAUGGCUUUGGUCCCACCAUACCUCAAAUCACUUGCCCAGGCUUCUCCCCAUCAUGUUUCACCAAAAUGAAAAUAUAGACACUGUCCACCUGACCACCUUUUGUGCAUUUCAAUCUUACUUCACAUUUCUCCAAAAAAAUAAGAUUUCCUAAUCAUGAGCUGGUUAACAGCUAACAAGAGCCUGAGAGAGCAUUCAGUGGCACCCUUGCAAACCUCAAAAAAGGCCACUGACACUGACCAACAAAAUUUUGUCUAUCCCGGUUAUCCUUCCUCUUUCCACUUUUAUGAAAGACUUUUAAGAUUAACCACUUACCUUCUGCCUUGAUGACAAGUUGAAUUUUUGCAGCCUUUGUCCCACAUGGGUAAGUAGAAAAACUGCACUCAUACUGCCUGCUAAGGAAGAUAGUAAUACUUUACUAGUGCACAGCCCACUGGUUACAUUCAGAUGAGGAAUCUGGGCCAGGAGAACACCAGGUCUCUGUCAUGUCCCUGUUGUAGCACUUCCUGCAAGGACACAGAACAGUAGUAAUAAGUCUCGAAAAAUUCAAAGUAAUGGAUGCCAAAAUUGGGGUGAUGGACAGAUAUUCUGAACAGCUCAUUGCUAUUGGUCUUGGACCACUGUGCCCACACUUUGUGGAUGUAUUCUUGUUUGGAGAAGGUGCACUUCAGGGUCACAUUGGUGCCUGGAAAAGCAUGGACCACUUCUGUAUGUAUAAUGAUGUCUCCGAGUUGGCCUUAAAAACUAAUGGAAGAGUUUUCAGCACAAUAAAAGUUUAAGCAAAGCUUUCUCCUAAACUGUC